GCCCGCGUCGCAUAGUGGUAUUGCACAAGAUUGGAAAUCUUGGCCCGCAAGGGCCCGCAGGUUCGAUUCCUGCCGCGGGCG
rnacentral:tRNA from 1 species